rnacentral:misc_RNA from 1 species
CUGGUAGGGUGUAAUCCUCCAAAUGCAAGGAAAAAUUACGGGAAACAAUUGAAUGUACCAUCAGAUGUAUAGCUGAGUCUGAUCAGCACAGAUGAAAUAACCAACUAGUGAACAGCAAUAUUCACUUUCUAACCAUCAGGACAAGAUGAUAUUGAGAAAUGCAAAGCGAUGACAUAGAAAUAAGCCUGCAGAUAUGCCUCACCUUCAG